AGUAUUCAGCACCCAAUGGGUUCAAAGUACUUGUUGCUCUGCCUUUGCACCCUCCUAGUGCUCUCAGGAGCCAUCGCUAGAGAUAUCCCCGCCUCCGGAGCCGCCCCCGUUGCUCAUGCGGCUCCCAAGGGCGAUGCCGGCACCCACGGUGUUGAUGUUGGGGAGCAACAGCCGCGGCUUCCACCUAGAUUCCGCUGCCCGUUCCCCCCCUUUUGCCGCGGUGCUACACAUCCAUGAAAAGAAGAUUACGGUGGCCAUGUAACCAUGCUACCCUGGUGCGGCAAUAAAUAAUCAAAUCAGAUCUCGCUUGAAACUA
rnacentral:rRNA from 1 species